rnacentral:lncRNA from 1 species
CUACUGUAGGCGAAAAAGAAUUUACAAUGGCCGAGUGCAUCGCCAAUGCGACACAUGCAUUGUCAAAGAUCCAACGCAACGCAAUGCAUGGUGUGGCCUACACCAGCAUACAUCGGCCAACGAAGCAAACAAUGGAUCGAGAGCAGAAAGAAAGAUGGUUUUAUUUACAGGUGGAAACAACACGCAUGAGGACAUGAGGUCGGUCCUGCCUAUAAAAAAACAAUAAUAUACCUGUCACUCAUGCUCUUCUGGGAGUGUGUCUGCGACUGCGAGUACGGAGAGAACAAAGGAUUGCUCUGGCUUGCAAGCAACUUCUGACCAACCAAGUCCAACCAGCUCCUCGUUUGUCCGCCACACGAGCCGACGAACGGGCCAGCAAACUCCAUGACACACCCCAGCACGAGCUCGGAGCACACGAGGACGACGACAUUUGAACAACUUCAUUGCACUUUCAUCGACAAUCACAGUUCCAAAACGAAGGAGGGGAUUGAUCCUCUCGUGGCAGUGGCACCAACGUCUAACGCUAAUUGAGCAAGCGGUUUUUUUUUACAUACAAUGGUGGCA